AGAUAUAUAACAAGUGUUACAUAUAAUCCAAGAAUACUUGCAUUAGUUGUUAAUUAUCAACUACUUGAAAAAAAAAUGGUGUCCAAAUUAUUUUUGCUGGUUUUAUUAAUCGCACUACUGGCUAUUGGUGCAGACGCAUGCGCUGGUUUACGUGCCGAAUGCGGCCCAGCUGCAGGAAGAGACUGCUGUGGUGGCUAUGUCUGCAACAGCGGCAUUUGUCAUUUCGAUGAAUGAUUACAAACAAAAAAAUAUAAAAAUGUUUUUUUUUUUGGAAAAAUAAAAAUCAAACUUCCGAUUAAUAA